GCUAAGGCCAACUUAUUCUAUUUCUGUGGUUUGAGCUGAUAUAGGCUAUGGUUGGGUUAAUUUACACACUGAGUUUCCCCAAACUCACCCCUUUUAUUUUCAUCCACGCAGGAAAUCCCCAACCAUAGUAGGCUUGGAGCUGUGAGGGAAUUCGAAGUGGCCACCCGUUCUGAAAGUUAGAUUUUCUUCUGGUGAACUGGACAUCCUUUUAUUUACGAUUGAAGUUUUGGGUUUUUAAAUGUAAUCCAUAGAGUUAGACGGAUCGGUGCAGCGGAGGACUCGAUAGUGACCACUUCCUAUUACUAUUUAAUUUUGUUUUACUGUUUUAUUUAAGUUUUGGCAUUGAGUUUUGAGAGGUUGUAUUUUCUAGGACUCUCUAGAUUCUUUUAAACUGUUUGGCUUUGGUUUUGGGUUUGGAAUUAACUUGUUUAUUACUAUGAUGGUUUAACCUAAACCAUGAAUUUCUAAAAUAAAAUGCAAAUUGUUUUCCUUAAA